GUUAAUUCUCUAGCAUUAUUGUUGAAAGAAUUUAGUCAACAAUUCCGCUAUGUAAUCAAGAGGGAUCCAGCCAACUCCUGCCAAUUUUCAUUGUGCUGGACCCCAAAACCCAUUUCAUUCAAAAAGCCACAUUCCUAAUUACUCUAUGUUAAUUCAAAUUUCUCUUUGUUACUAUUGUAAACCUAAUUAACCCAUAGUUUAACCGUGCAACCACAUCUCCCAAUUUUCCCUUUUCAACGCCGCCGAACCUGUCUUUUGUGAAGCCUUUCUCGGUCCCUGGCGUCAAUUCAAGUCAGCACCGCCGCCGCGCCGGUCAGCGAUCCACCAAGGGGCUCCCCGAAGUCAUCCCAGCGCCGUCGCUUCUGCUGUAUGUAACUGGUGGCCUUCCAUUGAAGACGCAUCCACUCCUCCAACAAACCACCCGACGGCGCCUCCUGUUGCUCUGCCUUAACACACACGCGGUGGAAGUGUCCCUGCCUCGGUGAAGAACUAGCAAGCUCCCCUGCUGUUUGUCCCUGUGUUCCUACUAGUGAAGCUUACACAACGGCGCUUCAGGUUGCUAGGAAUAUCAAUGAGAAGAAAGGGAAAUUGCGGCGGCUCGCACUAAGUAUGAGAAGUUGCAAGCGGAGAUGAAAGAAGCUAUGACUAACUUGGUCUCUCAAGUAGGUCAGACAGGGGAAUUGAAACUCCAUCUCAGGGAGCGUGAUCAAGAGAUAGCUAGCAUGAAGAGUGCACUGGCCUAAUUGAUAAAGCACAUGAAGAUUGACUUGGGGAAGAAGAUUGAAUAAGCAACACUUAUCGAUGCAAAAGUUAAACAAAAAAUCACUUUUGUUUUUAUUCAUAUGUUUAUUUCGGUCAAACUUUGAUGAUCACCUUUGAGAGUUUGGGUGGUUUUAAUUAGAUAUUCAUCAAUAAACUUUCUAAGUUUAUAUGAAUGUGCAGAUGAUUUUUUUAAGCUACUCAGUUUCUUUGUAGACAUAUUAACAUCAAUGCAAGUUCAAUUGUUUGUUACA